AAUCCAGGUUUUCUCACUUGAGGAUGGCCCAUGUGGUAACAUCUGGGGAGCCAUUGGAGUACCAGUGAGCAUACUACCUGAGGACGCAAACCUACCUAUUUCAGUAGAUUGGUUAGACUAUGAUGGCAUACUUGUCAAUUCUAUUGAGGCAAGACCAGUAUUCUCAAGAUGUUUGAUUUGGACCAUGU